CCCGUUACUCCCGAGUUAUAUAAAGGAUUAGUUCAUACUGAACGAAUCGUUCGUGACCGACACAUCACUAAUCUUCUUCUCUGCCCCUCUC